GAUGAACGCUGGCGGCGUGCCUAACACAUGCAAGUCGAGCGAGAAAUUUAAAGUGGAAACUACGGUUGAAGCGAUAAAUGGAAAGCGGCGGACGGGUGAGUAACGCGUGGGCAACCGCCCUAUACAGGGGGAUAACAGUGAGAAAUCGCUGCUAAAACCGCAUAAGCACACAAGAUCGCAUGAUAAAGUGUGAAAAACUCCGGUGGUAUAGGAUGGACCCGCGUCUGAUUAGCUAGUUGGUAAGGUAAAGGCUUACCAAGGCAACGAUCAGUAGCCGACCUGAGAGGGUGAUCGGCCACAUUGGGACUGAGACACGGCCCAAACUCCUACGGGAGGCAGCAGUGGGGAAUAUUGCACAAUGGGGGAAACCCUGAUGCAGCAACGCCGCGUGAAGGAAGAAAGUCUUCGGAUUGUAAACUUCUAUCAGCAGGGAAGAUAGUGACGGUACCUGACUAAGAAGCCCCGGCUAACUACGUG
rnacentral:rRNA from 1 species